rnacentral:rRNA from 2 species
UGCAAGUCGAACGGUAACAGGUCUUCGGAUGCUGACGAGUGGCGAACGGGUGAGUAAUGUAUCGGAACGUGCCCAGUAGUGGGGGAUAACUACUCGAAAGAGUGGCUAAUACCGCAUGAGAACUGAGGUUGAAAGUGGGGGACCGCAAGGCCUCACGCUACUGGAGCGGCCGAUAUCAGAUUAGGUAGUUGGUGGGGUAAAGGCCUACCAAGCCUGCGAUCUGUAGCUGGUCUGAGAGGACGACCAGCCACACUGGGACUGAGACACGGCCCAGACUCCUACGGGAGGCAGCAGUGGGGAAUUUUGGACAAUGGGCGCAAGCCUGAUCCAGCAAUGCCGCGUGCAGGACGAAGGCCUUCGGGUUGUAAACUGCUUUUGUACAGAACGAAAAAGCCUCUUCUAAUACAGGGGGUGCAUGACGGUACUGUAAGAAUAAGCACCGGCUAACUACGUGCCAGCAGCCGCGGUAAUACGUAGGGUGCAAGCGUUAAUCGGAAUUACUGGGCGUAAAGCGUGCGCAGGCGGUUUUGUAAGACAGAGGUGAAAUCCCCGGGCUCAACCUGGGAACUGCCUUUGUGACUGCAAGGCUGGAGUGCGGCAGAGGGGGAUGGAAUUCCGCGUGUAGCAGUGAAAUGCGUAGAUAUGCGGAGGAACACCGAUGGCGAAGGCAAUCCCCUGGGCCUGCACUGACGCUCAUGCA